rnacentral:rRNA from 1 species
GGCUUGACAUCCCGAUGCUAUUUCUAGAGAAGAAAGUUACUUCGGUACAUCGGUGACAGGUGGUGCAUGGUUGUCGUCAGCUCGUGUCGUGAGAUGUUGGGUUAAGUCCCGCAACGAGCGCAACCCCUAUUGUUAGUUGCCAUCAUUCAGUUGGGCACUCUAGCGAGACUGCCGGUAAUAAACCGGAGGAAGGUGGGGAUGACGUCAAAUCAUCAUGCCCCUUAUGACCUGGGCUACACACGUGCUACAAUGGUUGGUACAACGAGUUGCGAGUCGGUGACGGCAAGCUAAUCUCUUAAAGCCAAUCUCAGUUCGGAUUGUAGGCUGCAACUCGCCUACAUGAAGUCGGAAUCGCUAGUAAUCGCGGAUCANCACGCCGCGGUGAAUACGUUCCCGGGUCUUGUACACACCG